rnacentral:rRNA from 1 species
GAUGAACGCUGGCGGCGUGCCUAAUACAUGCAAGUCGAGCGAACAGACGAGGAGCUUGCUCCUCUGACGUUAGCGGCGGACGGGUGAGUAACACGUGGAUAACCUACCUAUAAGACUGGGAUAACUUCGGGAAACCGGAGCUAAUACCGGAUAAUAUAUUGAACUGCAUGGUUCAAUAGUGAAAGACGGUUUUGCUGUCACUUAUAGAUGGAUCCGCGCCGCAUUAGCUAGUUGGUAAGGUAACGGCUUACCAAGGCAACGAUGCGUAGCCGACCUGAGAGGGUGAUCGGCCACACUGGAACUGAGACACGGUCCAGACUCCCACGGGAGGCAGCAGUAGGGAAUCUUCCGCAAUGGGCGAAAGCCUGACGGAGCAACGCCGCGUGAAUGAUGAAGGUCUUCGGAUCGUAAAACUCUGUUAUUAGGGAAGAACAAAUGUGUAAGUAACUAUGCACGUCUUGACGGUACCUAAUCAGAAAGCCACGGCUAACUACGUG